GACGAACGCUGGCGGCGUGCCUAACACAUGCAAGUCGUACGGUAAGGCCCUUCUGGGGGUACGCGCUUGGCGAGCGGGCGAGUGACACGCGCGUAACUUGCCCACACUUUUGGGAUAACUCUCGGCAACUGGUGGUAAUUAUUGCUAUAUGCUCGUGCUGCAUGGAGGGGGUUGGUAGGAACCGGCGGUUGGGGGUGGACUCGCGGCCUAUCAGCUUGUUUGUGGGGUAGUGGCCUACCAAGGCGGCGAUGGGUAGCCGGCCCGCGGGGGUGACCGGCCACAUUGGGGCUGGGGAACGGCCCAGAAUCCUAAGGGGGGCAAGAGGGGGGAAUAAUGCACAAUGGGGGCGAGCCUGAUGCAGCAACGCCCCGGGCGGGAAGACCGCCUUCGGGUUGUAAACCGCUUUUAGCAGGUACCGAGCCUUUUGUGACGGUACCUGCAGAAGAAGCACCGGCUAACUACGUG
rnacentral:rRNA from 1 species